rnacentral:rRNA from 1 species
AAUGGGGGCAACCCUGAUCCAGCAAUGCCGCGUGUGUGAAGAAGGCCUGCGGGUUGUAAAGCACUUUCAGUGAGGAAGAAGGGUAUUAGGUUAAGAGCUAGAUACUUUGACAUAACUCACAGAAGAAGCACCGGCUAACUCUGUGCCAGCAGCCGCGGUAAUACAGAGGGUGCGAGCGUUAAUCGGAAUUACUGGGCGUAAAGGGUGCGUAGGUGGAAAGAUAAGUUGGUUGUAGAAUUCCCGGGCUCAACCUGGGCAUGUCAAUCAAAACUAUCUAUCUAGAGUGCAGUAGAGGGAAGUGGAAUUUCCGGUGUAGCGGUGAAAUGCGUAGAUAUCGGAAGGAACACCAGUGGCGAAGGCGACUUUCUGGACUGUAACUGACACUGAGGCACGAAAGCGUGGGGAGCGAACAGGAUU